GUGCUCGCUUUGGCAGCACAUAUACUAAAACUGGAACGCUACAGAGAAGAUUAGCAUGGCCACUGCGCAAGGAUGACAUGCAAAUUUGUGAAGCAUUAAAAAAAAAG
rnacentral:snRNA from 1 species